rnacentral:rRNA from 1 species
UACGAAGGGGGCUAGCGUUGUUCGAAAUUACUGGGCGUAAAGCGCACGUAGGCGAAUCCUUAAGUCAGGGGUGAAAUCCCGAGGCUCAACCUCGGAACUGCCUUUGAUACUGGGGAUAUCGAGUCCGGGAGAGGUGAGUGGAACUGCGAGUGUAGAGGUGAAAUUCGUAGAUAUUCGCAAGAACACCAGUGGCGAAGGCGGCUCACUGGCCCGGUACUGACGCUGAGGUGCGAAAGCGUGGGGAGCAAACAGG